UGAAUACUUAUUUUUAUUUCUCUAACCUCCUCACCAGUUCCCAAAUUUAUUAUAUCAGUGUCAUUUAAAUUGGGUUUGGGCUUAUCCUCAAAUUGAUCCAAUCCUUUUUUGACUUCCUUAUCAGCUUCACCUUCAUCGUAUUCAUCUAUCGUUUGGUUUGCUGAUUCGAGAUUAGACAACUUUUUAGGAUCUAAAUGUGAACUCCACGUACAUGCCAUGUUAUCGAAGCCAGUAUUAACAUAACUGAAAUAAGAUAAAAAAUUUUAAAAAGGGAAGAAAAGAUAAAUUUACUAGAAAAUUUGAAUUUCAUUUAGUUGAAUCGGAAAGGAUAUGACGGUUAACAUGAAAGCAGAGCAACUAAACUAUGUGGACUACAACCCUGAGAAUAGUCCAAAAUACAAAAGAAAGAAAAAUGAAACAACAAAAUAAACUACCAAGACUCCUUCCUUGUGGGGAGAGGAGUGGCUUCCCAGUUAGUGAGCUUGAUAUUUGGCCCGACGAACUGCACAUCUGCAUGGCUAGGGCCUUCACCCAUCUGAACCAUGUUUAUUUCAUAAAACAUUUCCUUGAGACCUUGACAUAUUUCAUCCACAUCCUUGUUAGCAUAUGGGUAUUAAUUUUCUUCCUUUUGAGCUUUCGUGAAAGAUUGGCUA
rnacentral:lncRNA from 1 species